AUUCUAGCAACCACCAUUUCUCAUGCUAUUUUCCUUUGUUUUGUGAAGAUAAAGGAAGGAAUUGAAGGGGUUUUGGAAGACAAAAUAAGAAAAGGAAACAAGGAAGUACUUUGGAAGUCUUGGAAACAAGACAAGGAAAAGGAAACCAACUUGCCAAGAUUGGCUUGACACAAGCAUAUCUAUUUGGGUUUGGAAGCAUGCUAAGAGUCAAAAUCAGAAUGGCGUUUCUAUUGGGCGUUUGACAAGCGACGAUGCUCGCCUCAGUUUACACGGAAGUCUAAGAAAAUGACUUUAGACAGUCGGCUGCUCCACUUGAUAUAAUGUUGAUUCAAUUAUAUUAUAUUAAUUUCUGUCGUUUACCUUUCCAUAUUAUGAAUUAUAAUGUUCUGUUCAUGUUAAACCCAACAAAUCUAUAUUGCAAUUAGCUAAAUUAUUUUUUAAUAAUUUUUUUAACAUAUUUUCUCUGAACCAUAAAAUUCAGAACCAGUCCAUUUUAGGAAACUCAUUCCCCAAAUUGACCCUACCCAAUUCUAAAACCAUUUCAUUGUUACGGAAAAAGAAGUCCACUAUGUUUGGUUAU